rnacentral:rRNA from 1 species
GGGUGUAAAGCGUGCGUAGGUGGCUUGCCAAGUGCUUUGUGAAAUCCCACGGCUCAACCGUGGAACAGCAGGGCAUACUGGCAGGCUUGAGGCAAGUAGGGGCUGACGGAACAGUAGGUGGAGCGGUGAAAUGCGUAGAUAUCUACUGGAACGCCGAUGGUGAAGACGGUCAGCUGGGCUUGUCCUGACACUGAGGCACGAAAGCGUGGGGAGCAAACAGGAUUAGAUACCCUGGUAGUCCACGCCGUAAACGAUGCGCACUAGACCGGUGCGGUUUUGACGCCGUAUCGGUCGUAGUAAAACGAUAAGUGCGCCGCCUGGGGAGUACGGUCGCAAGAUUAAAACU